rnacentral:misc_RNA from 1 species
AAUUCUCAACCUUCAACACUUUUGUGAAGAAGGCUUGGACUUGGAGGCCGUGUUGGCUGGCAACAGUCGACUCCUCUGAAAUGUAUUAGUUGCGAACCUUACGGAUCGCUUCGGUGUGAUAAUUGUCUACGCCGUGGUGUUGAAGUAUAGCAGUGUUCGAGCUUCUAACAGUCCGCAAGGACAAUUUUUUGACA